AACGCAUCUUCUAGCAGACAUCUUUAGAAAUAUGCGUGCUUUCGAGCCGUACGUGACACCGUCGAGAGAAAAAAAAAAAAAAAAAAAAAAAAAAAAAAACUCAACACAACUAGCAUUAGCUUGACAACUUGCCGUGAGGGGUGUGAACGCGUGCAGCUAUAGCUUCGUCUUUUACAGACGGGGACAAUGUGACGCUCGAGCGGCCAGCUGGUCAUUGUUCACUCGUCGUGUUUACAGCGCAAGAGAUUAAAGAGAAUGGCUUGUGAGCAAGGUGAAAGUUUCCUUCCGUCGUCGAGAGCGUCUGGCGGGGACUUCGAGGCUUUGGAGCUUUCACAUCAGAGCAUGCAAACCAUAUGCAGACUCCCCCAUUUUGUCGGCGGGUUGGAAUCAGACAUGCUGCUCUAAAUAAAAAAAAACCAAAUCAUAAAAGAUGCAAUUGUAAGGCGGUGUGAAUAUGUUUGUAUUUACAUCCGUGGAAAUACCCUCGAAAGACUUUUGGUGCCAUUACACGGGGAAGUGAUUUAGGAUCGGCGAGCCAAUGGAGUGGACACAAAACUCAU